AUUGAACGCUGGCGGCAGGCCUAACACAUGCAAGUCGAGCGGAUGACGGGAGCUUGCUCCUGGAUUCAGCGGCGGACGGGUGAGUAAUGCCUAGGAAUCUGCCUGGUAGUGGGGGACAACGUUUCGACAGGAACGCUAAUACCGCAUACGUCCUACGAGAGAAAGCAGGGGACCUUCGGGCCUUGCGCUAUCAGAUGAGCCUAGGUCGGAUUAGCUAGUUGGUGAGGUAAUGGCUCACCAAGGCGACGAUCCGUAACUGGUCGGAGAGGAUGAUCAGUCACACUGGAACUGAGACACGGUCCAGACUCCUACGGGAGGCAGCAGUGGGGAAUAUUGGACAAUGGGCGAAAGCCUGAUCCAGCCAUGCCGCGUGUGUGAAGAAGGUCUUCGGAUUGUAAAGCACUUUAAGUUGGGAGGAAGGGUUGUAGAUUAAUACUCUGCAAUUUUGACGUUACCGACAGAAUAAGCACCGGCUAACUCUGUGCCAGCCGCCGCCGUAAGAC
rnacentral:rRNA from 1 species